UGUGUCUCUAAAUGUUUGGUUCUGAUAAGCUUCUAUUUUGUAUUUCAACCUCUUCAUAGAAAGUAGCCUCUGUAAGAUCACAAUUAUCUGAUAUUGUGUAAAAUGAUUGUUAUGGAAACUACUGAAUUUAGGCCAUAAGUUAUUUUAUUUAUUAAUUAGGUAGGAGUAACAGAGGCUUAGAUUAGUUCAUUAAAAUGACUGUCAGACAAAUUCUCUUUUACUGGAAAAAAAGUCAAGUUAUGGUGUCAUGCUAGAAAAUGUACGGAUAAUGCUUGGAGUGUGUUAACUUUCAGGUAUUAGAAAGGAGUGCAAGAACCUACAGUUUGGUUAACAGUCUGGGAGGAUAACUCAACAUAAUGUCUCAGUUUAGUGUACUAAGUAGUCAGUUUUCUUUUGAUAUAAGGUAGAGCAAUGCAAGUAGUUGUGGUUAGGCCAGCUUAGUUGUAAUGAGCGUGGCCUCUGUAAUUCAAGGGCCUGGGUCUGAAACCUGGUGUUGCUAGUUACUGAUUGGGUGACUUGAGGUAAUGUAUACAAACUCUUUGUUCCUCUUUAUUUAUUAUGUCCAUAUUUUUCCUUAAAUCUUUGAAUACAUUUUCUAAUAUCUUAAAAUAUUUGUUAAUUCCAAUAUUUAUGUCAUCUUUGGUUGUUUUCCUACAUACAGUUUUCUCUUGAUUAUGUGUCACAUUUUCCUGUUUCUUUACAUGCCUACUAAUUUUGGUUUUAUACUAGACAUUAUAAAUGCUACAUUGUUGAGAGCCUAUAUUUUGUGAUCUUUAUUAGAGUGUUGAGUUUUUUCUGGUAGCAGUUUCCUGGCUGAGAAGUUUUAUCCUGUUGAAGCUUGUAUUUGGGUAGGUCUAGUGUAGUUCUUAGUCUAAAGUCAAAAUAUUACUACUUUUACAUUUUUCUUUUGCAGGAGAAGAUUCACCCCAAGCUAACAUCUGUUGCCAAUCUUCUUCCUUUUUCCUCCCCAAAGCCCCAGCCCAUAGUUAUGUCUGGUUUUAAAUUCUUCUGGUUCUUCUAUGUGAAGCACCACCACAGCAUGCCUACUGAUAGAUGAGUGGUGUGGUUCCACACCCAGGAACUAACCUGGGCCAUCAAGGCAGAGCAUGCAGAAAUUUAACCAUUAGGCCAUCAGGGCUGGCUCACUACUUUUAAAGUGUGGUCUUUCUGGGGUCUCAGCUGAAUGCAGGUGGAGUUCAGUAAAGCCACUUAUUCUAGAUAAUUAGAACUUCAGUGUCUCUCAGCAUUAAGUGAUCUCUGGGUCCUUCAUUCACCUCCCAAUCCCCAGUAGCUAUUCUCCACCAUGCCUCCUGGAGUCUUGCCCUGAAUAUAUGCAGGUUAGUAAUGGCCCAAAGACUCAAACAGACAUCUCUGCAGAUGUCUGGAGAUCCUUCUCUACAUAGCUCAUCUUUCUCCAGUAUAUUAUCCCAAAAGUAUCUGUUGCCUCAGCAGCCCUUAACUCUGAUACUUGUUUCCUCUAUCCAGCAAGAACAGUGCUUUUUUGUUCAAGCUACUUUUCUGUGCUGCAGUUUGGAGCUCAUCUCAUGUGUCUUUUCUCUCAAGGGUCACAGACCUGGGAUGUCUGUUGUGUAAUUAUUUUAAGUGAUUGAUUCACAUAUUUAUAAUUGUUUAAGGUGGAAUAGUAAGCCCAAUGCCAAUGCCAGUUGUUCUAUUGUGACUGGAAUUGGAAUUGUUCACUUUUAAAUUUUGAAGUUAUCUAUUUGAUAACAAUAUGCUUUAGAUAUUAAUUUCAUUUGAUAGAGUAAUUACUCAAGUUCCUGUGUGUCUUAAGAGGUUUUUAUCUGGGAUAUGUGUUUCAGGAUACUUUAUCAACUCUGUAUGUUAAGGAGGCUAUAGUAUUCUCAAAUUGAGUUAUUUCAAGCCAUAUUCAGCUUAAUUUAUUUUGCUUUGGAUAACUAUAUUUCAAAACCUUCUUACUCAUUUGUUUUCCCCUUGUGGGUUAAUUUUGGAGUUUAGAAUUGGUUUCUUGGUAAUAUCCUAAAAAUGCUUCAUUUUAGUGCCCAUAAGUUUUAUCCUUUGGGACCUUUCACUGUCUUAUAAUUUUCUAUAACUCUACCCUAGUUAGUUUAUUGCUAAUGGCUAAAGUGAACCUACUUGUUGAAUGACUAAAAUGGAGCUAGCUACCUAUGAACAUGCUUCUACCAAUUGUAAGGUGUCCAGUAAUUGUGAUACUGUAUCAGUAUUCCCUAGUAUAUUAAUUAGCCAGGUAUUUUUGGUGGACAUGGUGCUCUUAGUAAUUUUCGUGGAUUCUUGUGUCUCUUGAUAAACUCAUUCAAUCACGGCUAACCACUUAAAUAUGUCUUUUGCUUCCAGGAUUGUUUUUAUUUCUUUGCCAUUAAGGUAGAUGUUUUGGCUAUAGACAGACUGUUGCCAGGGUGCAAACACAUAGCAAAAUCAUGAGACUUUCUCUAAUUUAACCAGAUCUCUGAGAUGGCUUAUGUCUGACCCAAUGCUUGUUUGUAUCAUGAGGAAUGACAGUGUUCUAAUUUCAUUUUUGUUAGUAUAACAAUUUCUGCCCCUAUAGCGUAAAAUCUGAUUUACCAGGACAAUCCAACUUUUGCCUUCUCUUGGGAAAAUAUCUUCCUCUUCCUGAGAUGCCACAUGGAGGUGAACUGGAAGAAAAAGAGCAAAAACUGAAACCUGAAGAAUGGAGGCUGUCUUCAAACAAGCCCAACGGAAUUUGAGGAUGCCAGCACCUUUCCUACAUAUUUAAACUUAUCUGCAUUCCCGUUUCUGGAAUACCCUAUACCUGCAUUCUAAGUAGACUCAUGGAAGCUUCAGAGGUCAUUUAACACAUAAUGUCUCAUCUGUACAUCUUGAAGUGGUGAGUGGCUUGCCUAAGAGAACACAGAUGCUCAGUGGCAGAGCCAGAACAUGAACUCAUGCAUAAUGACCUCUGUCAUCUGGGGCCAUCCUCUGAUUUGGUACUUGUGGUUGGUACAGACUCUCUGUGCCACACCUCAUUCCACUGUGAAAGCAUUCUCAUACUGCUUUUAAUUUCAUAACUGUUAAAAAUUAUUUGGCUACGCAUAUUUCAUGCACUAUCGAGUAAAGUGAAGAGGAGAAAAAUAAAGCUACAUAAAAAAUCCAAUAAGUAAUA